AUGCUUCAGUUGAACUCCCAUAACACCCUCUGGGGAGUGCUCCCGGCAAGAUGGCAGCCACCGCGGGCUCAGUCAAUUUAUGAAAACCGAAUAUACAGCCUUAAAAUAGAAUGUGGACCUAAAUACCCAGAAGCACCCCCCUUUGUAAGAUUUGUAACAAAAAUUAAUAUGAAUGGAGUUAAUAGUUCUAAUGGAGUGGUGGAUCCAAGAGCCAUAUCAGUGCUAGCAAAAUGGCAGAAUUCAUAUAGCAUCAAAGUUGUCCUGCAAGAGCUUCGGCACCUAAUGAUGUCUAAAGAAAAUAUGAAACUCCCUCAGCCACCUGAAGGACAGUGUUACAGCAAUUAAUCAAAAGGAAAAACCACAGGCCCUUCCCCUUACCCCCAUUCGAUUUAAGAAGUCUUCAUUUUCCACAGUAGUAAAUUUUCUAGAUAUGUCUUAUAGACCUCAAAGUACUAGAAAGGAAGCUCCCAUUCAAAGGCAAUUUAUCUUAAGAUACUGUAAAUGAUACUAAUUUUUUGUCCAUUUGAAAUAUAUAAGUUGUGCUAUAA